rnacentral:rRNA from 1 species
UACGUAGGCAGCGAGCGUUGUUCGGAGUUACUGGGCGUAAAGGGUGUGUAGGCGGUUUUCUAAGUUUGGUGUGAAAUCUCCCGGCUCAACCGGGAGGGUGCGCCGAAAACUGGGAGACUAGAGUGCGGGAUGGGAGAGUAGAAUUCCUGGUGUAGCGGUGAAAUGCGUAGAUAUCAGGAGGAAUACCGGUGGUGUAGCCGGCUCUCUGGACCGCCACUGACGCUGAGACACGAAAGCGUGGGUAGCAAACAGA